rnacentral:misc_RNA from 1 species
AACAGUUUUGCAGGGUUAUAUACAUCUUCAACACAAAACCAGGUUAGCAGUGUUAUAUGCAUCUAGGUUAUGUAGCAGAUUAGGGGUUGCGUACAUCUUCAGCCAAAAAAGACACAAGACAGCAGACCCUGAUUGGUGUUUCUCCAUCUGAUUGUAUAAGGUUAUAUAUACCUUCAUCAAAAUUAACAAAAUAGGUUUAUGCAGGUUGCUAUUUUGUCAUAUUUCUCCACUCCUUCAAAUCAACCUUUCCUUGCAGACCCAUCUGCAACACCU